UACGUAGGGGGCAAGCGUUAUCCGGAUUUACUGGGUGUAAAGGGGGCGCAGACGGCAAUGCAAGCUAGGAGUGAAAGCCCGGGGCCCAACCCCGGGACUGCUCUUGGAACUGCAUGGCUGGAGUACAGGAGGGGCAGGCGGAAUUCCUAGUGUAGCGGUGAAAUGCGUAGAUAUUAGGAGGAACACCGGUGGCGAAGGCGGCCUGCUGGACUGUGACUGACGUUGAGGCCCGAAGGCGUGGGGAGCAAACAGG
rnacentral:rRNA from 1 species